rnacentral:tRNA from 1 species
GCCCAGGUGGCGAAACAGGUAGACGCAAGGGACUUAAAAUCCCUCGGAGGAUUAAACUCCGUGCCGGUUCGACUCCGGCCCUGGGCACCA